rnacentral:lncRNA from 1 species
CAAGUUGUCUUCUCUCAUUUCCUCUCAUAUACGUCCUGCAUUUGUACAUGGUUUUGACGUCCUGUGUGUCAUGCAUGGUCACCACCCUGGGAGGCCGUAGCAGGACAUUCCUCUUGUAUGCAGCGCCUCGGUUGUUUGCUUGAAGAGCUAGCCCGCUAGAUUCUUCUAUUCUUUAAUAAGAGUUCUAUAAUACCAUGUUUUAUUAGCUCGUUCAAACCCAUACAAUGAAUCAGUCAUACAUGUCACGGGAAUUUUGCUCGUAUGAUGUAUGUAUCAAUUGAUCAGAUUGUCCUCUCACUACCAUCUAGCCAAACUUGGGUAUUAGACCCUUGGACGUUGAAGGAUUAUAUCCCUCAAGCCAUAGUGAGUUUCUUGCUAAACUUGCAGGACCAAAUUAAUAGGAGAGCAGAGAUCUUAGCUUCAGCCUCGACUGCUUAACAGUAUCAACGUUAUGAACUUUGAUGUGAUCACAGCAUUAGUUGGUGGCGAUCGACAGGAUUUGGAAGUCAGAGUAUACUGACAAUUGGUACUCAUUUGAUUGAGCAGAUUUGAUCGCUUGACAGCAGCUUGCAACAAUGGCAAAGGACAACGGAAAGUGCGGUGCUAACUGCGAUUGCCCAGCGGGAACGUGCGCUAAGGAGAAUGGCAAGUGCGGAGCCAACUGUGAUUGCCCAGCAGGUAACACUGGGAAAGAAUUGGACACUUGCUGUUGGUGAAAUACUCUUUUGUUCACGUUGAAGAUGUGUGGACUGUGGUAAACGACGUUGAGAUUCCUUUGUAGUCAUGGUUACUAUGAUGACAUGGUUGCAGGAACAUGCGCAAACGAGAAUGGCAAGUGCGGUGCCAACUGUGACUGCCCUGCUGGAACCUGCGCCAAAGAAUAGAUCUGAGAUGUUCCUUACUACAAUGAGUUAUCAUCACAAGUGAUAUGUAUAAACGUGACUUGAUACGUAUAGAAGAUGAUAAGUACAGGUUUGUAUAGUGAAUAAUACCCAGUAGCCACACCCUUACGGGAAAGCAACAUGGCAACAGGGUGGAUGCUUCUAGACUGGAAUUAAAUCAUAUUUUGUUUGGUUCGU